rnacentral:rRNA from 1 species
AACGGAGAUAUCAUUUCGAAGCGAUAGUUACUAAGAGCGGAGAUGUGUCUAUCUUAGUGGCGGACGGGUGAGUAACGCGUGGUAACCUGCCUUACACUGGGGAUAACACUAGAAUAGUGCUAAUACGCAUAACAGGGAAAGAUGCAUGUCUUUUCCUUAAAAACUCCGGUGGUGUAAGAUGGACCCGCGUCUGAUUAGCUUGUUGGCGGGGUAACGGCCCACCAAGGCGACGAUCAGUAGCCGGCCUGAGAGGGUGAACGGCCACAUUGGGACUGAGACACGGCCCAAACUCCUACGGGAGGCAGCAGUGGGGAAUAUUGGACAAUGGGGGGAACCCUGAUCCAGCGACGCCGCGUGAGUGAAGAAGUAUUUCGGGUAUGCAAAGCUCUAUCAGCAGGGAAGAAAGAAAUGACGGUACCUGACUAAGAAGCCCCGGCUAACUACGUG